rnacentral:lncRNA from 1 species
GUUGGUGUAUUGCAUUGUUUAGCCAUUGGAUUUCCCUCAAACCCACCGAAUGACUCCUCCCACCAUAUUAUGAUGUUCCCCAAGUUUUGGACUCAAUCCGAUAUCGAUUUGUCCAUGAAAUUGGACAAUUCAGGUUCAUACGAAGUUCGCUAUGAAAUGCAGUGGUUGGUGUAUUGCAUAGUUCUAGAGCUUGGAUGUCACUCAAAACCCACCAAAUGACUCCUCCCACCAUGUUAUGACGUUCCCC